GCAUAUAGUGUUGUCAAUAUCUGUUCUGUCCUAGCUGACCUGAAUCGAUGUCAUUGCUCUUGCAUUAAAAGAUAUUUAUGCAAACGAGCAAUACCAAAAUGUACUUCAAAUGAGUCGAAGAUAGGUUCAAUAUGGAGGGCUACACACUUAUAGAAUACAUCUGAUUCUGAACAGUGCACUUAAAAUGAUCGAUAGCUGUUAGAUAGUGUUAUGAUUAAUUGAAAAAAUGUAUUGAUGAUAUCUUCACAGGUCAUGAGGCUAGAAAAAUUCUGCUGACACCAAAUUUGGUAUUUGAUGUCGCAAGAAAUGUUCAUGGAUCCUCAUCUUCCGAAACGUCGAUGACCAGAACAAGAAAAGACACUAGGGAUUUUUUAAGCCACAGAAAAGGACAAAGAGUAAAGAUUUCAAGAAAACAGUUAGGGUGUCGUAUUGUGGUACUUCUCUUCCAUUACCAUUUACAAAGGAUCUUGUUGUAGGAGAGGGUAUUUUCACUUUCGCAUGUAAUGAUGAUGAAGAAACUCUGAAAAAAACCCAUUAUGGAAAUGCUCAAGAGUGGUCAUGAUGUUGGUGAAGAUUAUAUGAUGUGACAAUUCUUUCCUACACAGGAAAGGUCUUAUCAGUUCCAAGAAUUUCAGAACAGGGGAAUCCCCCAAAGCAAAUGUUGGCCAAGGAAAACUAUACAUUAUGGUGAAAUCUGCUGAGAGUAAAACACUUAUGUGGACCUGUUCCAAAAUGAGCCUAUUCAGCUGCUAGAUUCUUCAGAUUCUGAUGAGGAACUGCCGGAUAUUAAGGAAAGUGUCAUGAGUCUACAAGAGGAGUUGGUAUUAUUACGAUCACAAAUAGACCAUGAGCAGAUGACAAGAUUCAACAUCAACAGGCAUGAUGUAUUGGAUGGGACUAGAAGAGCCCUGCAUCACAAAUCAUUUUGUCCGAAUUGAAAAAUGUCAGUAAAAUUCACUGAUGAUUCUGGAAGUUCUGAGGGAGCAGUGGAUGAGGGUGGACCAAAACGUGAGCUUUUAUGUCUGCUCAUGCACACAGUUCAAAGCUUGAAUAUUUUUGAGGGACCAAGUACAGGAAGACUUUUGUCCAUGAAUCCUACGGCUCUUGAUUCUGGUCUGUACAAAGAUGUAGGAACAGUAAUAGCCAUAUCCAUUGUUCAUGGAGGACCACCUCCAAAAACUUUUUUCCACAUAAGCUGUUCUCCAUGUUAGUAGGAACAGCUAGAUGUUGAUUGCACAACAAAUGAUAUCAUGGAUGAUGACAUCAGAACAGAGAUAGUACAGGUAGUUUUUUUUUAAUCUUAGUUAAUAAGGCUUCAAAAUAAACAAUUAAAUAUCAUUUAUUUAAUUGCAUUUAUGACCUAUGCUUGUGGGUAUAUAUUCUAUAUUGAUAUCAGGGGUAGAAUUUAACUUUUUUAGUAACUCGCACGUUGUUGCGAGUGGAUAAAAUUUUAACUCACAAAAUUACAAACUUACUCGCAAUUUUGAAAUUAUGUGUUAACAUUAAAUAUAACAGAUGUUUUAUGAUAAUUGUUUUGUUUA